rnacentral:precursor_RNA from 13 species
UCCUCAAGAGCUUCAAGCCUGACUCCAGGCUGAGGUAGUAGUUUGUACAGUUUCAGGGUCUACAAUACCACCCGGUAUAGGAGAUAACUGUACAGGCCACUGCCUUGCCAGGGACAGAGCACUGUCAACUGAAAGUGU